UGGGGAAUAUUGGACAAUGGGCGAAAGCCUGACCCAGCAACGCCGCGUGUGGGAUGAAGGCCAUCGGGUCGUAAACCACUGUCAGGAGGAAAGAAAAGUCGGCCGGAUAAUACUCGGUCGACCUGACGGUACCUCCAAAGGAAGCACCGGCUAACUACGUGCCAGCAGCCGCGGUAAUACGUAGGGUGCGAGCGUUAAUCGGAAUUACUGGGCGUAAAGCGUGCGCAGGCGGUUUUGUAAGUCAGAUGUGAAAUCCCCGGGCUCAACCUGGGAACUGCGUUUGAAACUACAAGGCUAGAGUGUGGCAGAGGGGGGUGGAAUUCCACGUGUAGCAGUGAAAUGCGUAGAGAUGUGGAGGAACACCGAUGGCGAAGGCAGCCCCCUGGGUUAACACUGACGCUCAGGCACGAAAGCGUGGGGAGCAAACAGGAUUAGAUACCCCUGUAGUCCCUGAGCGGGCUGGCAAGGCGCAU
rnacentral:rRNA from 1 species